rnacentral:rRNA from 1 species
GGUUGGGCUGUUCGCCCAUUAAAGUGGUACGCGAGCUGGGUUCAGAACGUCGUGAGACAGUUCGGUCCCUAUCCGUCGCAGGCGUAGGAAAUUUGAGAAGACCUGUCCUUAGUACGAGAGGACCGGGAUGGACGUACCUCUGGUGUACCAGUUGUCCUGCCAAGGGCAUGGCUGGGUAGCUAUGUACGGAAUGGAUAAGCGCUGAAAGCAUCUAAGCGCGAAGCCAACUUCAAGAUAAGAUUUCCCACCGCAAGGGUAAGACCCCAGAAAGACUAUCUGGUUGAUAGGUCGAAGGUGUAAGUGCAGCAAUGUAUUUAGCUUAUCGAUACUAAUAGGUCGAGGACUUGACCAAU